AAAUUUGAAAUCUGGCGCAAGCCCGAGUUGUAAUUUGUAGAGGAUGCUUCUGGCCAGCGGCCGUUCUAAGUUCCUUGGAACAGGACGUCAUAGAGGGUGAGAAUCCCGUAUGUGACCGGCGCGCAGCCUUUACGUAGCUCCUUCGACGAGUCGAGUUGUUUGGGAAUGCAGCUCUAAAUGGGAGGUAAAUUUCUUCUAAAGCUAAAUACCGGCCAGAGACCGAUAGCGCACAAGUAGAGUGAUCGAAAGAUGAAAAGUACUUUGGAAAGAGAGUUAAAAAGCACGUGAAAUUGUUGAAAGGGAAGCGCUUGCAACCAGACUUUGCGGCGGUGUUCCGCCGGCCUUCUGACCGGUCUACUCACCGCCGCGAGGCCAACAUCGUCUGGGCCCGCUGGAUAAGACCGGAGGAAUGUAGCUUCCCUCGGGAAGUGUUAUAGCCUCCGGUGAUGCGGCGCGGCUCGGGCGAGGUCCGCGCUUCGGCAAGGAUGUUGGCGUAAUGGUUGUCAGCGGCCCGUCUUGAAACACGGACCAAGGAGUCUAACAUCUAUGCGAGUGUUCGGGUGUCAAACCCCUACGCGUAAUGAAAGUGAACGGAGGUGGGACGCGCAAGCUGCACCAUCGACCGAUCCUGAUGUCCUCGGAUGGAUUUGAGUAAGAGCAUAGCUGUUGGGACCCGAAAGAUGGUGAACUAUGCCUGAAUAGGGUGAAGCCAGAGGAAACUCUGG
rnacentral:rRNA from 1 species